rnacentral:rRNA from 1 species
AGGGUCCUUGCUUUGAUGUGAAAACUAGUGGUGUUUCGCAGGUGGAAGGCAAAAUGACUUUCUUUUGUAGUAAUAAAGCUGAAGCAGAUUGCCAAGCCCAAAACUACAAGAGAGAGUGAGGGAUUAGAUAAUGAUUUUGCCAAAAUGGCUUUUACUGACCCGUCUUGAAACACGGACCAAGGAGUCUACCCAUUAUGCGAGUGUUAGGGUGGAAAAACCCAAACGCGUACCGAAAGGGAUGUAAGAUGUGAAGCGCAAGCCGCAACAUCAACCAAUCUUGAUUCUUUGAUGAAGGACUUGAGUAAGAGCAUAAUUGGUAGGACCCGAAAGAUGAUGAACUACGGUUGAGUAGGGUGAAGCCAGGGGAAACUCUGGUGGAGGCUCGAAGCGUUACUGACGUGCAAAUCGUUCGUCAAACUUGACUGUAGGGGCGAAAGACUAAUCGAAUCAUCUAGUAGCUGGUUCCCUCUGAAAUUUCUCUCAGGAUAGCAGGAACAGAUUAUACAGUUUUAUCAGGUAAAGCUAAUGAUUAGUGGACUCGGGGGUCUGAGACUCUCGACCAAUUCUCAAACUUUAAAUUGGUAAGAACCUUUAGUUUGCUUAAUUGAACUGAAGGGCAGAAUGUAUUGUUCUUAGUGGGCCAUUUUUGGUAAGCAGAACUGGCGAUGAGGGAUGAACCUAACGUUGAGAUAAGGUGCCUAAAUUCACGCUCAUGAGACACCAGAAAAGGUGUUGGUUAGUUUAAACAGCCGGACUGUGGCCAUGGAAGUCGGCAUCAGCUAAGGAGUGUGUAACAACUCACCAGCCGAAUUAACCAGCCCUGAAAAUUGAUGGCGCUAAGCGUGAUACCGAUACUCAACCAUUAAGGCAAACAGAAGCCUUAAUGAGUAAGAGGGCGUGAAUACUGUGUCGAAGGUUUGGACGUGAGUCUGACUGGAACAGUAUUUAGUGCAGAUCUUGGUGGUAGUAGCAAAUAUUCAAAUGAGAACUUUGAAGACCGAAGUGGAGAAGGGUUCCAUGAGAACAGCAUUUGUUCAUGGGUUACUCGAUCCUAAGACAUAGGGAAAUUCCUUGUAAUACAUGUAUUCUUACGAAUGCAUUGUCAAAAGGGAAUGAGGUUGAUAUUCCUCAAGCUGGAAGUUGUGGCAACGUGGUAACACAAACAAGCUCGGAAACACCGGUAUGUGCAACUGGAAGAGUUCUCUUUUCUUCUUAACAAUCUAUCUCCCUGAAUGGAUUAUCCGAAGCAAGGGAUAUAUGGUUGGCAGAGCAGUUCACCAUCGAAUUGUCAGUGAUGCUCAUAACGGUCCUUGAAAAUCUGAGUGAGGUAUCCAAAAACUCCAGGUCGUACCC